rnacentral:rRNA from 1 species
AUAGCAUAUCAUAAGCGGAGGAAAAGAAACUAACAAGGAUUCCCUUAGUACUGCGAGUGAAGCGGGAAAAGCUCAAUUUUAAAUCUGGUAGUCUUCGGCUGCCCGAGUUGUAUUCUAGAAGAAGCAUGAUUUGCGGCUGGACCGGGUACAAGUGUCCUGGAUUGGACCCAUCAUAGAGGUGGGAAUCCGUUUUUGACCACGACUCCCAGGGUUUGUUAUUUGUUUUCAAGGAGUCGAGUGGUUGGGAAUGCAAGUUUAAAUGGGUGGUAAUUUCCUUUAAAGUAAAUUUUGCGAGGAGACGAUUGGCGACCAAUUCCCGGAGGGAAGGAGGAAAGGAAUUUUGGAAGAAGGGUUAACCAUUAGGGAAAAUUGUUGAAAGGGAAACGCUGGAAGUCGUCGGCUUGGGUUGGGAAUCACCCUUGUUUUUUGCUUGGCUUACUUCCCAGUUGACGGGUCAGCAUCAGUUUUGACCGGUGGAUAAAGGCUAGGGGAAUGUGGCACCCUCGGGUGUGUUAUAGCCCUUGGUCAUAUGCAUUGGUUGGGACUGAGGAACUCAGCACUUGUGCUUAGGAUGCUGGCAUAAUGGCUUUAAGCGACCCGUCUUGAAACACGGACCAAGGAGUCUAACAUGCCCGCGAGUGUUUGGGUGGUAAACCCGAGCGCGUAAUGAAAGUGAAAGUUGAGAUCCCUGUCGUGGGGAGCAUCGACGCCCGGACCAGACCUUUUGUGACGGAUCCGCGGUAGAGCGUGUAUGUUGGGACCCGAAAGAUGGUGAACUAUGCCUGACUAGGGUGAAGCCAGAGGAAACUCUGGUGGAGGCUCGUAGCGAUUCUGACGUGCAAU